rfam:Fibrobacter succinogenes subsp. succinogenes S85, complete genome.
GUCCACUUCUCCGCUUGCACCCGUAUGGGUGAGCUACGGCCUUCGAGGCAAGGGAAGUAUUCAUUUCAAAGAGGC